GACGAUAACGAACGAGACCUUAACCUGCUAAAUAGUUGCAUUAACUUUGGUUGAUGAUCAACUUCUUAGAGGGACUAUAGACGUUUAGUCUAUGGAAGUUUGAGGCAAUAACAGGUCUGUGAUGCCCUUAGAUGUUCUGGGCCGCACGCGCGCUACACUGAUAAAGGCAACAAGUAAUUCACCUUGACCGGAAGGUCUGGGUAGUCUUUUGAAACUUUAUCGUGCUGGGGAUAGUCCUUUGCAAUUAUUGGACUUUAACGAGGAAUUCCUAGUAAGCGUGAGUCAUCAGCUCGCGUUGAUUACGUCCCUGCCCUUUGUACACACCGCCCGUCGCUACUACCGAUUGAAUGGCUAA
rnacentral:rRNA from 1 species